rnacentral:lncRNA from 1 species
AGUUUCCAUAAAUGAAAUUCAGAAAUGAUCAUCUUGAUAUUUUGCAUCAUUGCAAUGCAUGGACAAGCAUGCUCAGUAAGUUCAGCACGAGGACCUCUUUUUCUGAAGCAAGUGAAACCUUGCUGUAAAUGAAACUAAGACAUACAAACGAUAGAUCCAAUCUAGCAUAUAUAUUCUUCUAUAGAGUUCUGCAGAAAAAUGCGGUGCAGAUCAGAAACUGUUCACUGAGUGUGUUCUCUGGUAUGGGCUGGACAGACACUGGACAUGAAAGGAAAAUCUUGGUGCCAGGACUAAAUUUAGACCCUAUGGCUCCAUUUCAACCACUACACAUACCUCGUGCUUUGCAUUAAAAACUAUAAAUAGCCAUUUAUUCUCUUGAAUUGCUAGUGUACUGCAAGGAGUAGUUUUAGUCCAUAUUAAUGCCAAAAAGCUCUCUGCUCUGUCAUAGACAGGAAUAACACAGGCUAUAGUAGAAAGAAAGAGUGUAGUCAUUUGGAUGCAACCAAGGUGUGAAUUGCACUCUGUUCUUGUAGGCCAGGACUUGAUCUUCAGCCCUCUGAGUAUUGUGUCCUACUGAGGAGGAGCCAGAUAUGAUGAGGAGGUGACAGAUACUGUUUUUAAUGCAAAAUUUGAUUAGGAAGGAGUUACAAGAAACAAGAUCAUUAAGUUCAUUAGUAGUAAUUUGUAAAACCUGUUCAUUUCUGCUGAUUGUGCUAAGGAAAUGUACAGCGGGCCCUUCCUGGGGAAUUGGUGUGCCUUCACUUUUGGAUAGUAGACCAGAGGGUUGUAGCUCCAGACGACAGCCUGGACAUAACCGUACUACACUUCUGCCUCUGGCCAGUAUUGGGUAG